AUGUCGGUCCUGAUGGUCACGAGCGUGGGCGACAUCGAGCUGGAUCUCCACACCGACCUGUGCCCCCUCACCACCAAGAACUUCCUCAAGCUCUGCAAAAUGAAGUAUUAUAAUGGGUGUCUGUUCCACAAGGUCGAGAAGGAUUUCUUGGCACAAUCUGGAGACCCGACUGGAACUGGCAGUGGUGGUGAUUCCGUGUACAAGUACCUUUAUGGUGAUCAAGCUCGAUUUUUUAAUGAUGAGAUCCGUGCAGAAUUAAGACACUCAAAAACUGGCACUAUUGCCAUGGCAAGUGCUGGUGAGAAUUGCAAUGCCUCACAGUUCUACAUCACCUUGCGGGAUGAUGUCGAUUACCUUGACGACAAGCACACGGUCUUUGGGACAGUUGCUGAAGGUCUUGACACACUGACAAAGAUAAAUGAAGCAUACGUUGAUGAUAAAGGAAGACCGUUUAAGGACAUAAGGAUUAAACAUACAUAUAUCUUGGAUGAUCCUUUUGAUGAUCCUCCUCAGCUUGCUGAACUUAUUCCUGAGAAUUCUCCAUUGGGAAAGCCACGUGAUGAGGUUGCAGAAGAGCGCCUAGAGGAUAGCUGGGUCCCUCUAGAUGAAACAGUGGAUCCUGGUCAGCUUGAGGAGCUGAUCCGCUCUAAAGAAGCACAUGCUAAUGCAGUGAUCCUUGAGAGCGUUGGAGACAUUCCAGAUGCUGAGGUCAAACCACCAGAUAAUGUUUUAUUUGUUUGCAAACUCAACCCAGUGACACAGGAUGAAGAUUUAUAUACAAUCUUCUCGCGUUUUGGAAGUGUGACAUCAGCUGAAAUAAUUCGUGACUUCAAGACUGGGGAUAGUUUAUGCUAUGCUUUCAUUGAAUUCGAGGCAAAGGAGGCAUGCGAACGUGCAUAUUUCAAGAUGGAUAAUUGCCUGAUUGAUGAUCGGAGGAUCCAUGUUGAUUUUAGCCAAAGUGUUUCAAAAUUGUGGGGUCAGUUCAGACAAAGUAAACGAAAUGGAAAUAAAGAUGGUUGCUUCAAGUGUGGUGCUCCAGAUCACAUAGCCCGAGAUUGUGACCAGGAUGGUGAGCAGAAACCUAAAGCCCCAAAUUAUGUUCUGAAAGAUGAUAACACUCAGCGAGGCGGGAAUAACCGUCGAAGUUAUGAUUUCGUCUUUGAGGAUGAUACUGCUCAUCGGAAUACUGACCGAAGAAAGGUUCAAAAAGUAGAUGACCAGAGAUCGCAGCUACCGCCUCGUGGCGACCGCGAUAGGAACAGCAGCAGGGAGAGAAGUCAGACCGACGAGAAAGGAGGCCGGCAAAGCAAAGAGGGUGUUGUGAGCCGAGGAGGUCGGAGGCCAGAAGACCACCACAGUCACGACAGAUCUGGUGGUCGAGGCUCUGGUAGGCACGACGACCGUGACUACAGCAAGCAACAUAGCAGGAGCAGAAACAUGGAUGGCGGUGAAGAAGACUACAAACGGAGAUCAGGAGCUGGUCGAUACGACAGGGAUGAUAAGCCCGACGGUGACCGGCGCCACCGGGACGAUGAUGACCGUGGGAAGGGCGAUCGUCACAGGAGAGACGAGCGUGACCGCAGGGCACGGAGCCCUGAUGCUGAUAGACAUAGAAGGGAAGACGCCGGACACCGCGAGGUCAGCAGGCACAGGGAGAGGCGGCACCGGGAUGAUAGAUAG
rnacentral:rRNA from 1 species